rnacentral:ncRNA from 1 species
GAGAGCCGGAUACGCUGAGAGGUGUAAGUCCGGUUCGGGGGGCGAGCAUUUGGAAACCUACCAUAGAAAUAUGAUAAGGCGCUGGGUGCUUAGCCUAC